rnacentral:lncRNA from 1 species
AGAGCUGUGACUCAGCCUGUGAAAUUUACGAUUCCACGGAUGGCAAAAGCCAGCUGUUUUUUUUUUUUUUUCCAUACCUUAAGGGCUUCUGGCUUCGUGUUGUCAAAAUAUUUUAUUCAUCUUACAUCAACCUCAGCCCUCCGCUGACAGGAACCUGGCAGGCACUUGUUCUUGCAGAUACUCCUGGGCCUUCCUGCUGGUGUUUUCAACAUUCCUCAGACAAGGGCGUCUGCUUCAUUAGCAUCAGUACAAAUCAGAUGCCCUAUUUACAUAGAAGACAGUUUAGAGUAAUGAAAGGUGCCAGGUUCUAAUUACUGAUUUGGUUAUGAUUAAAGUCCAACCAAAGGCACCACAUGUGAGCCCUGGAGGAGCUCUCAGAGCUCAGCAAGUGGUGCCACGUGCCUGCCUUGCAAGCUUUGAUGGCAGGAAUAAGAGGCCAACAGAUGCAUGGAAGAGGACACAGACACACAGUCCCACGGCACUAACACUGGGGUAUCACUGCCUUUACUGAGCAAGUCAGGGAAGGUGUGGGGGCAUACCAUGGGACUCUUGCAACCUAGCUGAGUGGAGGGGAUCCAGGCCAGGCAGAUGCUGGAGGAGAGGCAGAGGCAAUGCAGGGUAGAAAGGACAGUGUAGUGGGUUGGGGACGCUCAUUGCUGAACCUCCACUACCAGGUGGUGAUGGCAGGGAAUGAGGCCAGAGAGGCAGACAGACCCUGCCACAAAACCCAGCUUGGUGUCCAAGAGUGUGGCUCUUCCUAGAGGGCAAGCCACAGGGUCCUGAACAGGGUAGGACUAGGAUCUUGCCUGCUCAUCUUCUGAUGAGUGUCACUGGAUACAUUCAUCUGGUUGAAUAAGCCACAGCCAAGGUCAUUGGCCUAUUUCUAUGAAGGACCCUUGCUCAGUAUUUGUUACCAUGGUAAAAGAGGCUCUUUUUUUCCCCUCUUCUUUUUUUUCUACACAUGAGCUUCCUGGAUGUGUUUGAGGAUGGCAUAUUUAUUGCCUGAAAAGUUUUAAGAAGAGUUUCCUUGCCCAGAGGUUAGGACUGGCCACUGUCCUCCCUGAUCUUUGAAUCUGGCAUUUUAAUAAACUGUGAAUAUUGACAGGCUAUACAUGUGUGAGUGCAUAUUUAAUAAUGGAGUCAUUUGACUGCACUACAGAGAGCUCUGUGCAUUUCCAAUCUGAAAAAAUGUUUUAGAAUGAGAAAUACACCCCCGGUGCUGAGAAACCAGUGUUGCAAUGGCAGUCAUAUCUAAGUGUCCAUGGGGGAUGGCUUCUGGGACCCCUGCAGAGAGGCUCAAUCCCUUGUAAAACAGUGUAGUAUUUGCAUGGAACCUACUCAGUCUUCCUGUAUACUUUUAGUGACCUUGAGAUUGCUUUUAACGUCUCAUACUGUGUGCAUUGUUGUCAUUCUGUAUUGCUGAAGUAAUGUUGAUAAGAAAAACGUCUACAUUUUCAGAUAUAUCCAACAGAAGUUGAUUGAGUCCAUGGUGAAACCCAUAGAUGUGCAGAAAUGACAGUACUUUUUUUUCUUGCAUAAACAAAUAUGAGAGUUAAUUAUUUCUCUUUACCCCAAGGACCCUCCUGCAUAGCAGGCAAGUUUGGGUGCUGUAUGCUGUUACCUAGACACGUACUGUGAGGAAAUCCCUGCAUGGUCAGGGGCAAGACAUCGAAGUAUAGGAGAGGUAUAUGGAGCCUACAGGACAUGGCAGUCCACGUAGAGCUCUAACUCCACUCGACCACUGCCCAUUCACAUUUGUUUUUCUAGUGGUCACCAUUGUUAUCUAUUUAGGGUAUGUCUUUUGAGGACUUUUGCUGUCUGAAAAUAAAUAUAUAGACUACUUCAGGCAAUGCCCAGGAGUCAAACCAGGAGAAAGCUUCAUGAAAAACUUGAAGGUUCCAGAUGGUGGCCAAUUUCUCUGUAUGUAUUUCCCUGUAUUAAUUGGAAAUGAAAAGCUUUAAGGAAAAUAGAGGAAGGGAAGAAGGGAAGGAGGGAGAGCAAGAGAGAGAGAGAGAGAGAGAGAGAGAGAGAGAGAGAGAAGAUAAAAAGAGAGAGGGAGAGGGAGGGAGAGGCCUGUUGUGAAAUCCUUUUCCAGUGGAAAAGAAUGGGAGCAUAAAUCCUGUGGCCCUGAGAAGACAAAGGAUGAGUGAUGUUUAGGAACAAGGAGAUUUACUAGGAAAUAUCACAAUCCCUCACUCACAGUGACAGCCAUUUAUGCACAUUCAUUUGGAAAAAAACCCCACAAUUUUCAGAAACAAUGCAUCUGAUUACUUCUUGAGGACUGCCUACUCAAUAUCUGAGUGAAGACUGGAACCUGGGUGUGUCCCCAUAAAGAGUC